UACGGGGGGGGGCAAGCGUUGUUCGGAAUUACUGGGCGUAAAGGGCUCGUAGGCGGCCAACUAAGUCAGACGUGAAAUCCCCAGGCUCAACCUGGGAACUGCGUCUGAUACUGGAUGGCUUGAAUCCGGGAGAGGGAUGCAGAAUUCCAGGUGUAGCGGUGAAAUGCGUAGAUAUCGGGAGGAACACCGGUGGCGAAGGCGGGUCUCUGGGCAAUUCCUGACGCUGAGGCGCGAAAGCGUGGGGAGCAAACGGG
rnacentral:rRNA from 1 species